rnacentral:rRNA from 1 species
UACGUAGGGUGCGAGCGUUAAUCGGAAUUACUGGGCGUAAAGCGUGCGCAGGCGGUUCGCUGUGUCCGAUGUGAAAGCCCCGGGCUUAACCUGGGAAUGGCAUUGGAAACUGGCGAGCUGGAGUGUGGCAGAGGGGGGUGGAAUUCCGCGUGUAGCAGUGAAAUGCGUAGAGAUGCGGAGGAACACCGAUGGCGAAGGCAGCCCCCCUGGGUUAACACUGACGCUCAGGCACGAAAGCGUGGGGAGCAAACAGG